rnacentral:rRNA from 1 species
CCCUUAGAUGUUCUGGGCCGCACGCGUGCUACACUGAGUAAUUCAAUGGGUAAGGGAACGCUAGAGCAUUACCUAAUCUUGAAAUUUGCUCGUGAUGGGGAUCGACGGUUGCAAUUCUCCGUCGUGAACGAGGAAUACCUUGUAGGCGCAUGUCAUCAUCAUGCGCCGAAUACGUCCCUGCCCUUUGUACACACCGCCCGUCGCUCCUACCGAUUGAGUGAUCCGGUGAGGCUCUGGGACCUGGACGGAAAGAGCGUUUCGCUUGUUCUGUUUGGGAAACCUGGUCGAACCUUAUCAUUUAGAGGAAGGAGAAGUCGUAACA